UACGGAGGGUGCGAGCGUUGUCCGGAAUCAUUGGGCGUAAAGGGCGCGUAGGUGGCGGGACAAGCGUGCGGUGAAAGCUCGGGGCUCAACCCCGCGUCGGCCGUGCGAACUGGGCUCACUGGAGCAUAGUAGAGGCAGGUGGAAUUCCGGGUGUAGCGGUGGAAUGCGUAGAGAUCCGGAAGAACACCGGUGGCGAAGGCGGCCUGCUGGGCUAUGGCUGACACUGAGGCGCGACAGCGUGGGGGAGCAAACAGG
rnacentral:rRNA from 1 species